rnacentral:rRNA from 1 species
CAUCGGGUGACGAGCGGCGGAGGGUGAGUAAUGUCUGGGAAACUGCCUGAUGGAGGGGGAUAACUACUGGAAACGGUAGCUAAUACCGCAUAACGUCGCAAGACCAAAGUGGGGGACCUUCGGGCCUCAUGCCAUCAGAUGUGCCCAGAUGGGAUUAGCUAGUAGGUGGGGUAACGGCUCACCUAGGCGACGAUCCCUAGCUGGUCUGAGAGGAUGACCAGCCACACUGGAACUGAGACACGGUCCAGACUCCUACGGGAGGCAGCAGUGGGGAAUAUUGCACAAUGGGCGCAAGCCUGAUGCAGCCAUGCCGCGUGUGUGAAGAAGGCCUUCGGGUUGUAAAGCACUUUCAGCGGGGAGGAAGGCGAUAAGGUUAAUAACCUUGGCGAUUGACGUUACCCGCAGAAGAAGCACCGGCUAACUCCGUGCCAGCAGCCGCGGUAAUACGGAGGGUGCAAGCGUUAAUCGGAAUUACUGGGCGUAAAGCGCACGCAGGCGGUCUGUCAAGUCGGAUGUGAAAUCCCCGGGCUCAACCUGGGAACUGCAUUCGAAACUGACAGGCUAGAGUCUUGUAGAGGGGGGUAGAAUUCCAGGUGUAGCGGUGAAAUGCGUAGAGAUCUGGAGGAAUACCGGUGGCGAAGGCGGCCCCCUGGACAAAGACUGACGCUCAGGUGCGAAAGCGUGGGGAGCAAACAGGAUUAGAUACCCUGAUAGUCCACGCCGUAAACGAUGUCGAUUUGAGGUUGUGCCCUUGAAGUCGUGCCUUCUGGAGCUAACGCGUUAAAUCGA